rnacentral:rRNA from 1 species
UGGGGAAUAUUGGACAAUGGGCGAAAGCCUGAUCCAGCCAUGCCGCGUGUGUGAAGAAGGUCUUCGGAUUGUAAAGCACUUUAAGUUGGGAGGAAGGGCAGUAACCUAAUACGUUGCUGUCUUGACGUUACCGACAGAAUAAGCACCGGCUAACUCUGUGCCAGCAGCCGCGGUAAUACAGAGGGUGCAAGCGUUAAUCGGAAUUACUGGGCGUAAAGCGCGCGUAGGUGGUUAGUUAAGUUGGAUGUGAAAUCCCCGGGCUCAACCUGGGAACUGCAUUCAAAACUGACUGACUAGAGUAUGGUAGAGGGUGGUGGAAUUUCCUGUGUAGCGGUGAAAUGCGUAGAUAUAGGAAGGAACACCAGUGGCGAAGGCGACCACCUGGACUGAUACUGACACUGAGGUGCGAAAGCGUGGGGAGCAAACAGGAUUAGAUACCCACGUAGUCCCUGAGCGGGCUGGCAAGGCGCAU